rnacentral:rRNA from 1 species
UAGGGAAUCUUGCCACAAUGGACGCAAGUCUGAUGGAGCAACGCCGCGUGAGUGAAGAAGGUUUUCGGAUCGUAAAGCUCUGUUGUUGGUGAAGAAGGAUAGAGGCAGUAACUGGUCUUUAUUUGACGGUAAUCAACCAGAAAGUCACGGCUAACUACGUGCCAGCAGCCGCGGUAAUACGUAGGUGGCAAGCGUUGUCCGGAUUUAUUGGGCGUAAAGCGAGCGCAGGCGGAAUGAUAAGUCUGAUGUGAAAGCCCACGGCUCAACCGUGGAACUGCAUCGGAAACUGUCAUUCUUGAGUGCAGAAGAGGAGAGUGGAACUCCAUGUGUAGCGGUGGAAUGCGUAGAUAUAUGGAAGAACACCAGUGGCGAAGGCGGCUCUCUGGUCUGCAACUGACGCUGAGGCUCGAAAGCAUGGUAGCGAACAGGAUUA